UGGCGGGAAUGUCAAAUCCACUACAAAACUUAUAAUUAAUUAUACGGAAAUGACUAUCUAUUAAAAUUCACGUAGAAAAAAUCCAGUGUAUAUGCAGGGAUUCGAACUCAAGACCUUUAGCAUAUCAAGCCACGACACAUUCUUUUUUUAUCUUUAUAAGCCACGACACAUACCACUACACCAGGACGACUGGAUACGAAAUAAUAGUAAUUUGACAUACUUAAAGGAAGCAAGAUCUUUUAUAAGUGGGGCGAGUUGUCAGACCUUUAUUCAGUGGGGUUUUAACCUUUUUCGUUAAUUAGUGAGUUUUCAGACUGAUUGUUCAAUUUGAUUUUACACUUUUUCAAAGUGGGGCAAGUUGGUAAACAAGAGUGGGACGAUAUUUUUAUAAAGUGGCGAUAUAGUGUGGGCCGAUUGGCAAGUGGGGCGAGUUGACAUUGUUUGAUAUCUACUCAUCGUGUUUGGGGGUCAAAAAAGGUAUAC
rnacentral:lncRNA from 1 species